rnacentral:rRNA from 1 species
AACGAACGCUGGCGGCAGGCCUAACACAUGCAAGUCGAGCGAGGACUUCGGUCCUAGCGGCGGACGGGUGAGUAACGCGUGGGAACGUGCCCUUUGCUUCGGAAUAGCCCUGGGAAACUGGGAGUAAUACCGGAUGAGCCCUUUGGGGGAAAGAUUUAUCGGCGAAGGAUCGGCCCGCGUUGGAUUAGGUAGUUGGUGGGGUAAUGGCCUACCAAGCCGACGAUCCAUAGCUGGUUUGAGAGGAUGAUCAGCCACACUGGGACUGAGACACGGCCCAGACUCCUACGGGAGGCAACAGUGGGGAAUCUUAGACAAUGGGGGAAACCCUGAUCUAGCCAUGCCGCGUGAGCGAUGAAGGCCUUAGGGUUGUAAAGCUCUUUCAGCUGGGAAGAUAAUGACGGUACCAGCAGAAGAAGCCCCGGCUAACUCCGUG